GGCGAACGCUGGCGGCGUGCUUAACACAUGCAAGUCGAACGGAAAGGCCCUGCUUUUGUGGGGUGCUCGAGUGGCGAACGGGUGAGUAACACGUGAGUAACCUGCCCUUGACUUUGGGAUAACUUUAGGAAACUGGGGCUAAUAUCGGAUAGGAGCUCCUGCUGCAUGGUGGGGGUUGGAAAGUUUCGGCGGUUGGGGAUGGACUCGCUGGUUAUCAGCUUGAUUGUGGGGUAGUGGCUUACCAAGGCUUUGACGGGUAGCCGGCCUGAGAGGGUGACCGGCGACAUUGGGACUGAGAUACGGCGCAGUAUCCUACGGGAGGCAGCAGUCGGAAGUAUUGCACAGUGGGCGGAAGCCAGAUACAACAGCGCCGCGUGCGGGAUAACGGGCUACGAGUUGUGAACAGAUUUCGAAUGUGACGAGGCGUGAGUGACGGUAAUGAGUAAGGAAGCACCGGCUAACUACGUG
rnacentral:rRNA from 1 species